UAUCUGUCAGUUGCAAAAAUAAAAGUUGAAAACGUGAGUGCGAUAAUUUUGUUCGCGUGAGAAAAAAGGCCAAAUUUUCUUUCGAUCCUGGAUUUUGAAGCUCUACGAGCCGGAACCGGCGCUAAGAUAGUGCUACGCAUCGAUUGACAAGCAGUCGCCGAAUGCUGCUUACCCCUGCCAUCUCUCACCAGCAAACGUUUCCUCAGUCACUAUUCCAGCCAAUUCCAGCCAUCGGUUCCGUCAUAGGUCAGGUUGCAGAAUACAUGUCCUGCUGCUGGUUAAUGAAGAAAGUCCAUUGCUGCAGAACUCUGAUGGAAUCUGGAACAGAGCUGGGAAAACAACUUGAGAAUCAUCACUUUGACCGGAUGGAACAGCUCUCUGAUUCGAGCAAAUACGUGAUCUUGUCAUAAUGCGCAAGAAUAGUGGGACACCGCGGAAGGUGGCCUUCUGGUGCUGCGUCCGCCGUUUGGCUGCGAGUCAGGGUGAAUGGGAUCUGGCAUCGCAAUUCCAGCGCUAAUCAUGGUACCCUAGAACCCGGUUUUCUUUCAAGACGUAGAACAUAAACAUGAAGAUAAAAUAAAUAAUAAAUAUUAUUAUAAAACUAAAAAUUUAUUUUGGCAUUUGAUUGGAAUAGAAAGUACACAACACUUGUUGCUUUGAAAGUAUCACUAUUGAUUCUAAUGUAAAAUACACAGUUAAUUUGAGAGGAAAAUGUCAUUUUGAAAAGUAAAAUACACAUUUAGUAUUGAGAGAAAACUGUUAUUUUGAAAAGUCGGCUCUUGUUAAAGUUCCUCCCGAAGUGACAUUUUUGCAAUUGUAGAUUUAACAAUGUUAUACUUUCUACACACAAAAAACAAACAUGGUUUCACAGAAUAUUUUGCACUUUCUUCUUGAAAAGUGCUUGAUUUUCUUAAAAUUAAAAAUGAAAUUAGUCUCGUUAAAAAUUACUUUUUUAUUUGAGAGUUUUUCUUUCUUCGGUUCCCGACGAUAAAUAAAAGUUCUUCCAUUCAACCUGAAAAUUAUUAAACUGUCAUACACAAAACGAUAUACUAGAUGGUGCAAAAACGACAAUAAAAACAAAACAGCAACGAUUUAAGUCAGCCGCCACUGCCACCGGCAGAAGUUUUUUUUUCUAAUUUGUGCAGUGGAGUUGUUGAUCACAUCUACGGAAUCAAGAGAUUCGGUUCAUGACUGGAAAACUAUGGCGCGUUUUAAAAUCUACAAGAGGGGCUGGGGUCGCUGGAUAAGCCGCGCCGGUAGUCUUGGAAGCUGCAAGCUGCAUAACACGACGAUUAACACGAAUGAGGACAUCCUGUUGCAUGAGCGCCUAUAAACUCAGUUUAAUGAAUU